UACAGGAAGCAGCUGCUGGAUCUGCUGUGC
rnacentral:piRNA from 1 species